GUGGUCCUAAACAUGCUAUGUGGAAAGUUGAAAUUAAAGUAUUUCCAAAAAAGGAAAGGGGUCAUUUUUUAUAAACGGACUCAAAAAAAAAGUAGGUCAUUCUUUUUUAAACGGAGGAAGUACAAUAAAAUUAUUAGUAUUUAAUUGAGAAAAAACAUUUAUGUUUAUUAGUGAUAGUGAAGAUGGCUUAUAAUGGUGGUUGCAGUGAGAAUGAUUGAUGUUAGUGAUUAAUAUUGUUGGCGGUGAUCACUGUGAUGGUUGGCAUUGUAGUGAUUGUUACGAUGGUGGCGAUUGAUGGUGGUGGUGGUUGUUGUGAUGUGACGUUGCUUGAUGUUAGUAGUUUAAGGUGUUGAUUGCGUUGGCUGAAACAUGAAUGCAUGAUGAUUGACGAUGUGUUGGUGCUAGUUGGAGAUGUUAUUUGUUGUGAUGGUGAAAAUGGUUGUUAGUAGAGAUAAAUUGUAGCAAUUGUACUGGUUGAAGUAGUGGUAGAGGUGGCAUUACUAGUGACAAUAGUGGGGGCAGCCAAAGAAUGUGUAGAGGUUGUGAUGUAUUAGUGGUAGUUAGUGAUGGUACUAGUUGUGAUAGAUGAGUUGGUUGGUAGUAGGGAUUGGCCGCUAGUGGUUGCUGAUUGUGGUGUUGUUGACGGCAGUAGUGGUGGUGAAUAUAAUUAGAAUAUAAAGGUAGUAGGUGUGGUAGCGGUUGACAAUUGUGGUUGGUAGCGAUAUUUUUUGUCAAUGGUGGUUGUGAUGGUGGAGGUGGUAGGUGGUAAUUGACAAGGGAGACGGUGACAGAGGUGGUUAGUGGUGGUAACUGCUGAUUAUGAAUAGAGUGGUGAAUAUUAUCCAACACCAGAAUAUCCAUUCAGACCUAUUAAGACUUUGUUCUAGAUUUGAAUGAUUAAAACCUAUUCAGACCUAUUCAGAGUUAAAACCUUAAAAAAAAACAAAUGCACUUAAUGGUCUGAAGUCUGAACCAUUCAGAUUCAGACCUCCAUUAAAUGCAAACAAUUGAGGCCUAAGGUCCUGAAGCAUCUUGAUAAAGCAAGGAGAACAUUCCUAUGGAAAGGCAACUAUGAAGGGCAUAAGUUUCAUUUGGUGGACUGGUCAGAGGUUAUCAAACCAAAAAACCUGGGGGGUUUGGGAAUCAAAAACUUAUCGAAACACAAUAGUAGCUUGCUUAUGAAAUGGUGGUGGAGAUACAGUCAAGAAACUACUAGUCUUUGGAAAAGGGUGGUGACCGCCAAGUAUGGGAAACAAAAUCACUGGAGCACCAGCACAUGCAUGGCUCCCCAUGGUGUUGGACCUUGGAAACACUUAAGCAAGCUCAGAGAUGAUUUUUUCGUUGAUGUCUUGUUUGUUGUUGGGAACAAAAAUUUAGUGAGUUUUUGGAAUGACAAAUGGCUUCUCGACCAACCCUUGAAGAUCUCUCACUCAAACCUCUAUCGACUAGCUGUGAAUCCCAACUCCACAGUGGCACAAAAUAGAGCUGGAACCUCAUGGAACCUCUUCCUUAGAAGAAAUUUGCAAGAUUGGGAACUAGAGGAGAUCUUUGAUCUUUACAGAAUUUUAGAAGAUUGCACAAUAAAUCCCUGGGCCAGUGACAAGCUAAGAUGAGGCAGUUCAAGUAAGGGGUCUUACACAGUCAAGGCAGGUUAUAGUAAACUGUGUGCUCAAAAUGAAGUGACUGAACACUAACCUUGGAAGCUGAUUUGGAGAACUAAACUCCCCAAUAAAAUCAUAUGUUUUACAUGGAGGCACUCCUAACUCAAGACAACCUUUGCAGAAGAAAGUUUCAACUAGCAAACAGGUGUUUUAUGUGCCAACAUAGCUCAAAAACAGUCAACCAUUUACUUUUGCAUUGCUCAGUUGCAUCUGAUUUGUGGAACAUGUUCUUAUCAAUUUCUAGGGUUAGUUGGGUAGUGCCACGGAAUGUUAAGGACACUAUGGAAAGCUGGAGCCUUUGGGUAGUUGACAGAGCCAUCAAGAAGAUCUGGCAAAUGAUACCAGCAUGCAUUGUUUGGAGUAUCUGGAUGGAAAGAAAUCGUAGAUGUUUUGAUGGGAUUUCAACUCCUAACACUGCUCUGAAGUCCAACUGUUUGAUGUUUCUUUUUAGCUGGAGCAAUUUAACCCCUGUAAACAAUGUUAUUCCUCUUGUAGAUUUCAUUAGUUCCUUGUCUUUGGCUAACAGCCAUACUUUUUGCACAGUUAGGGAAAUGACUCAAUGUUAUAUCUGUAGGUUUUUGCAUCUAGGAGCCUUCCCUAAUUUUCUUUGUACUGUUUUCAGCAUCUUCUUAAUGCCAGUCAAUAUAACAAUUACUUCAUCAAAAAAAAAGAGUUGACUGCAUCAUGUAGCAUGAUUUAACCAAUUAAGAAUAACAGACAGACCGAAUAAAGAGCAUGUCAUUGAAAAACAUAAAGGACAAGAAUUUAUCCCAACAGGUUAUACAAAGCAAGCUUUCCAUUUUCUCAUUCUUUCCUUAAGAAAUCAAGAUAGUAACCACCCUAACCUCUCUCUGCACCGCCCGAAGAUUCAAAAAAGUAAGUAUUGUUUCAACCCAACCAAGCACAAGGCAUGCCCAGAAGCAACUCUAUGAUGAGAUUAAUAUCACCUCCAUAAUGAAGCGUUAGAUUUUCGCCUCACAUGGAUAUAGCCUAAAGGUCUGCAUAUUAUAAACGUUCCUACUUUUGGAAUGUGCCAACCAGCCUCUGCAAGCAAUGCAGAAGAGGAAACGAAAAGCUUUGGAAAACCAUGAUUUUCAGUCUUGGACUUGAUGAAGGAUUGUGAUGAGAUAUGUUUUAAUCAGAGAUACACAUUCAUUAUUAGUGCAGUUUGUAGGAUAUGUGAAUCAACACUGCUAAAAGCAGUUCUAAGUGUUACUUGUUUGUGCCACAGAAGAGAUUUCUGAACAAACACUAUACUAUCAAGUUCUAAAGAAAUUUUUAAAUUUUUGUGUGGUGCCCAUAGCCUCAUAGUGAUCAAUUAGGCAGUCUAAGUUAGCAAAAGUGUUGUCAAAAGCAAAAACAGCAAAAUGGCUCUCAGGUUUGUAGGAGCUUUAAGCGCAAAUAAAGUGUGGGCUUCAAUUUAAAAAGAAGGCGGAAAGGGAGAAAAAAAUAUAAAUAUAGGUAUAGUGCAAGAUAAAUAAUUAUAAACAAUAACAACAACAACAAACCUAGUGUAUUCCCACAAAGUGGGGUCUGGGGAGGGUAAAAUGUACGCAGUCCAUACCGCUACCUCCAAAGAAGUAGAGAGGAUGUUCCGAUAGACCCCCGGCUCAAGAUAGAGAAUAGUAAACAAAAGCGUAAUGAAACAUGAAGCAUGAUGAAUGGCACAACAUAAAAAGAGAUAAGACAUAAUAAAAUAGAAAUCAGAACAAUACGAGAUAAGAUAAAUAAGCGCAAUAUGAAAUAAGAGAUAAGAAAAGGACAUCAGGAAUACGACCCCCACCUAGUAGUAACAUACACUCACAGACCAGAGACACCCGCCACACCCAAAUCCUCCUGACCAGGGGCUCCUACAUAUGGACAUAGUCCUAGGAUUACUAACCCGGCUAUACAUGAGCUCUUGUAACUACUUGCUACAACCCACGCACACAUCCUACCCGUCUACCCUUAUUCGUGACCUCCACACCUUCCUAUCUAGGGUCAUGUCCUCAGUAAGCUGAAGCUGCUCCACGGCAUGUCUAAUCACUUUCCUCCAAUACUUCUUCGGCCUACCUCUCCUCCUCCUGAAGCCAUCCAACGCAAGCCUCUCACAUCUACGAACUGGGGCAUCCAUGCCCCUCCUCAUCACAUACAUGCCCAAACCAUCUCAACCUUCCUUCCCGCAUCUUGUCCUCCACCGAAACCACUCUCACCUUCUCCCGGACAAUCUCAUUCCUAACUCUAUCCCCUCUAGUAAGUCCACACAUCCAACGCAACAUUCUCAUUUCCGCCACCUUCAUCUUUUGAAUGCGGGAGUUCUUGAGUGGUCAACACUCUGCUCCAUAUAGCAUGGCUGGACGGACUGCCACUCUGUAGAAUUUGCCUUUAAGCUUAAGUGGUACCUUCUUAUCACACAACACUCCCGAGGCGAGCCUCCACUUUAUUCAACCUGCUCCAAUACGGUUAGAGCAAGGGAAAGUGAACGACAAAUAUACGAAUAAAGAAAUUGAAAAAAAUUACGAUAAAGUGGAAUAUCAAUUGUUUAGUAUCGCCUCUUCAUGAAAGGCUCAUUAGCAAGGGAAAGUAUGCUUUAGAACCUUGAUGACGACACUGAAGCGCACAUAAAGCGAAGGGAAGCGCACAACACGUUUUGAACCUCGCUUCGGGACUUAAGCGCACCUUUAACAACACUGAUAUAUAGUAAGACCCAAAGGCGUAUUCAUGAUUUUAAGACAAUGGAUGCACUAUUACAACAACAACAACAACAACAAACCCAGUGUAUUCCCACCUAGUGGGGUCUGGGGGGGUAAGAUGUACGCAGUCCAUACCUCUACCUCUGAUGAAGUAGAAAAGCUGUUUCCGAUAGACCCCCGGCUCAAGGCACGAGAUACCACACAAACACAUAGUGCAGCACAGAAGCAGAUUACAUAACAUAAAUACGGCACCCAUAAGUAAUAUAAAGCAGAGGAAAGCAGGGGAAAGCACACAGAUUCGUAAUACAACAUGGAACACGGAACACCUAAUCCUCUGCCGUAAUUCGCGUCUUCCAGACCUUCCUAUCUAGGGUCAUGUCCUCGGUGAGCUGUAACUGUUCCAUGUCCCGCCUAAUCACCUCACCCCAGUACUUCUUCGGUCUACCCCUACCCCGUCUAAAACCAUCCAACGCUAGCCUCUCACACCUACGGACCGGGGCAUCCGUGCCCCUCCUCUUCACGUGUCCGAACCAUCUCAAUCGUGCUUCCCGCAUCUUACACUCCACUGAAGUCACACCAACCUUCUCCCGGAUAGUCUCAUUCCGAACUCUAUCCCCUCGGGUCAGUCCACACAUCCAGCGCAACAUCCGCAUUUCUGCCACCUUCAUUUUUUGGAUGUGGGAGUUCUUAACUGGCCAACACUCCGCUCCAUACAGCAAGGCCGGACGGACUACCACCCUAUAGAAUUUGCCUUUAAGCUUGGGCGGCACCUUCUUAUCACACAGCACCCCCGAUGCGAGUUUCCACUUCAUCCAUCCCGCCCCAAUACGGUGCGAGACAUCCUCGUCAAUCUCACCGUUACUCUGGAUCACGGACCCGAGAUACUUGAACUUAUCCCUCUUCCCUACCUCCUGUGCUUCUAGCCUCACUACUACCUCAUUCUCCCGCCUCACGUCAUUAAACUUACAUUCCACAUACUCUGUCUUGGUUCUGCUCACCCUGAACCCUUUAGACUCCAGAGUUUGCCUCCACAACUCUAAUUUGUCAUUCACACCCCCUCGAGUCUCAUCUAUCAGGACUACAUCGUCUGCAAAAAGCAUACACCACGGCACCUCCCCUUGGAUACGCCGCGUCAACACAUCCAUUACUAACGCAAACAAAAAGGGACUAAGAGUAGAUCCCUGGUGCAAUCCUGUCAGGACAGUGAAAUGCUCUGAGUCUCCUCCCGCCGUCCUCACCUGGGUUUUCGCUCCCUCAUACAUAUCCUUAAUUACUCUGAUAUAUGCCUGCGGUACUCCACUCACCUCCAAGCAUCUCCAAAGCACUUCCCUGGGGACUUUGUCGUACGCCUUUUCCAGGUCGAUGAACACCAUGUGCAGAUCCUUCUUCCUCUCCCUAUACUGCUCCACCAACCUCCGUACCAGGUGGAUUGCCUCCGUCGUCGAGCGGCCGGGCAUAAAUCCGAACUGGUUUUCCGAGAUAGACACUAUCCGUCUCAGCCUCACCUCGACCACUCUCUCCCAGAUCUUCAUAGAGUGACUCAGUAACUUAAUCCCCCUAUAGUUAUUGCAACACUGAAUGUCCCCCUUAUUCUUAUAGAGGGGGAUCAUGGUACUCCACCUCCACGCCUCGGGCAUCUUUGCCGUCCUGAAAAUUUCAUUGAACAAUGCAGUCAACCACCUUACACCAGCCUCUCCAACGAACUUCCAAAACUCCACCGGUAUCUCAUCCGGCCCCGUCGCCCUACCCCUUCGCAUCCUGCGGACUGCCUGUCUAACCUCUUCUACCUUAAAACGUCUACAAUAGCUAAAAUCCCGACACUCCCCUGAGUGCUCCAGUUCCCCUAACACAAUAGCUCUAUCCCCUUCGUCAUUCAAGAGCCUAUGAAAGUACGACUGCCAUCUCUUCUUGAUGUGGCCGUCCUCCACCAACACUCUACCGUCCUCCCCCUUAAUGCACCUCACCUGAUCGAGGUCACGACCCUUCCUCUCCCUAGCCUUAGCGAGUCUAAACAACUUUUUCUCCCCUCCUUUCCCCUGUAACCCUGCAUACAAGCUCUCAAAAGCGGCCGUCUUAGCAGCCGUGACUGCUGACUUCGCCUCCUUCCUCGCUAGCUUGUACUCUUUCCUGUACACCCGCUUCUCCUCUUCGUCCUUACUUUCCACCAACUUAGCAUACGCCCCUUUCUUGGUCCUCACUUUCUUCUCCACCUCUUCAUUCCACCACCAAUCCCCCCGAUGGUGCCCGGCCCGGCCCCUAGAACUGAAUUUAGGAUUUACAUUUGAUGGAUUCAACAUUUAGGUUCCUAGCAUGAACUCAUUAAAUAUUUGAAAUUUAUAUGUUCAAUAUAAAUUUUUUGAGCAAUUUAUUUUUCACAUAUGUAUCUAUACUCUGUAUCAAAAAUAUUGGAUUUAGUUGAACCCAUUGACUACAUGUUGUAUGCUCCACUACUGCUAAUUUUAAUAUAGACAUUUGAUUUAAUUACACUCAAUUUAACAACGAUAACAAGGUAAAUAGGGAUUUUGAAAGAAUAAACCAAAGUAACAAAAAAAGUACGUAAUUAAAAUGCAAGAGGGAACACAAGACAUGCUCAUCCCCAUGGGUGAACCUAAAUAGAGAAAAAGAAGAGAAAAAAGGCCAGACAUGAGAUUUGGAUCUUGGAAUCAAUUCUAGACAGAGAACCAAAAAAGGGAAAAAACAACAAGAUAGACAUGGGAUUUGAAACCCCAGUGUCAUUUGUAAAUUGUAAAGGUGCACCCAAUAAAUAUUACAUCACAUCAUAGGACUAAUUGAGCUUAGAUCCCCAUAUUUAAUUUGAGAUAAAGGUAUCUAUGUAUUCACAAUAGACUCAUCAUCAAAUAAAUGAUGAACACACGUCACUUACAAUCUCAUCAGAACAUAACAAAACAAUCCCUAUGGAAGAUUACAAAUUUCCUAUGAACUCAACAAAAAGUUUUAUAUCCCCCCAACAUAUCUUGUUUACGCCAAAAAUACAAUAGACUAAGAUAGUUGAUUCUAAUCUCCUGAAUGUUGUUUCUCUACAUGAAAUAAAAGGGAGGUCCGGUGUAUUAAAGCUCUCCCAACACGCGGGAUCAGGGAAAGGCCGGACCACAAGGGUCUAUUGUACGCAGCCCCACCCUACAUUUCUACAAGAGGUUGUUUCCACGGCUUGAACUCGUGACCUUCUAAUCACAUGGAGACAACUUUACAGUUAAACUAAGGCUCCUCUUUAGAUCCACUUGACAACGACAGUUAUUCACCAACCAUUAGAUGGCACAAGGAUACACUCUACAGGAUGCUUCAAAAAAGACAUAAUGAUCUCUAUUUGAUGAAUCAAGCAUUAACAUGCAAUUUCCACUUCAUAACUCCAAUUAGCAGAAAAGGUUUGCAACAUAGCUGUAACGACAAUCUUCAACUUCCAGUAAUUUCUUAAAAUAUAUUUCUGCUAGAAUUUUGUUAACAGUUUAAACUGAUACGCUCUUUUAGCUGAGUUCCAAUUCA
rnacentral:lncRNA from 1 species